rnacentral:tRNA from 2 species
GGGGUGGAGCAGUUCGGUAGCUCGUCGGGCUCAUAACCCGAAGGUCGCAGGUUCAAAUCCUGCCCCC